rnacentral:rRNA from 1 species
GGGAGGUAGUGACAAUAAAUCACAAUGCGGAACAAUGUUUUGCAAUUGGAUUGAGAACAACGUACAAACCUUAUCGAUAAACAAUUGGAGGGCAAGUCUGGUGCCAGCAGCCGCGGUAAUUCCAGCUCCAAUAGCGUAUAUUAACGUUGUUGCAGUUAAAAAGCUCGUAGUUGAAAUGAAGGGUAGUUGUGUAAUGAAUACAUUCGUGUAUUUUGUUAUUCAAGUACCCUCCUUCUAAAUUCGAUAUAUGAGUAUUAAUUUACUUGUAUAUGGUUUUAGACAUUUACUGUGAGAAAAUUAGAGUGUUCAAAGCAGGCAUUUGCUUGAAUAUAUUAGCAUGGAAUAAUCAUGUAUGAUUUUCAUGAUGUAUUUGAUUGGUUUGGUUGAUGAGAAUAAGAUUAAAAGGGACAGUUGGGGGUAUUCAUAUUCAAUAGUCAGAGGUGAAAUUCUCGGAUUUAUGGAAGAUGAACAAGUGCGAAAGCAUUUACCAAGGAUGUUUUC